rnacentral:rRNA from 1 species
UCGGCUAAUUCGGCCAUCCCCAAGGUAAUUUUAGGUUGCCGACGAUUAUCUGAAUCUUUUGGCAAUAACCUCCUAGGCGGUCUAAAUAACUGGGAAUUAAAACCGGGGGCUCUCCUAUAUUAGACUCUGAUAACGGCAAACUUAAUUCAGAAGGGAAGAGGAAAUAAGGGUCUAGCUAUGAAAUGGUUAGACACUAGUAGGAAGACCGGUGGCGAACGCGGCUUUCUGGUCCAUAACUGACGCUGAGGAUCGAAAGCUCGGGGAGCGAACAGG